UUUUCCAGGUAGGUGGAAGUGGAAGUCAGGGCGCCCGAAGCCCAGAACUGAAUCCAAGACCCAGGGGCCCCUCUCCUCUGUGGCCUCAGCUGCUGCUUCCGCCGGAGGAUGAAGUGAACCUGACCAGAGGACUCUGAGCAGAGCCCCUUCACCUGCUCUGGAGGCAUGGGUCCCACGUAUCCUUCCACUUGGCGGAUUUGUGGCACAUGCCUGCCUGUGCCAAGCGUUGUUCUAGGCCUUCCUGGGCGCAGCGUCUAGCAGGAAGACGGUGGCCCAUGGGCAGGUGCCGGCAGGACAAUGGUGGGAGCUCAGGCCCCACGGAGCAGGCGGCCUGGAGGUACUCACAGACUCAUCAGGCCAUCCUGGGGCCCUUUGGGGAGCUGCUGACAGAGGACGACCUUGUCUACCUGGAGAAGCAGAUUGCAGACCUGCAGCUUCGGCGCCGCUGUCAGGAGUAUGAGAGUGAGCUGGGCCGGUUGGCGGCUGAGCUGCAGGCCCUGCUGCCCGAGCCCCUUGUCAGCAUCACGGUCAACAGCCACUUCCUGCCCCGGGCGCCUGAUCUGGAGGUUGAGGAGGCCUCAACCCCAGCAGCUGAGCCCGCAGGGUCUGCGGAGGCCUCAGAGGUGGCCCCCGGGGGGCAGCCCCUGCCCUUCUGGUGCAGCCACAUCUCCCGCCUGGUACGCAGCCUGUCCCUGCUGCUGAAGGGCGUGCAUGGGCUAGUACAGGGGGAUGAGAAGCCAUCCACCCGGCCCCUGCAGGACACCUGCAGGGAGGCCUCGGCCAGCCCCCCUCGGAGCGAGGCCCAGCGCCAGAUCCAGGAGUGGGGGGUGUCUGUGCAGACGCUGCGGGGCAACUUCGAGUCGGCCUCUGGCCCACUCUGUGGCUUCAACCCUGGCCCCUGCGAGCCGGGGGCCCAGCGCAGGCAGUGCCUGAGUGGCUGCUGGCCGGCCCUGCCUAAGCCCCGCAGUGGCCUGGCUUCAGGGGAGCCCAGGCCUGGCGACACAGAGGAGGCCAGCGACUCCGGCAUCAGCUGCGAGGAGGUGCCAUCGGAGGCGGGUGCCGCAGCCGGCCCGGACCUGGCCAGUCUGCGCAAGGAGCGCAUCAUCAUGCUCUUCCUCAGCCACUGGAGGAGAUCGGCCUACACGCCGGCCCUCAAGACAGCGGCCUGCAGGACCCUAGGAGCCCGCCACGCAGGGUUGCGGGGCCAGGAGGCCGCCAGGAGCCCUGGGCCACCCUCCUCGCCCAGCGAGGGCCCCCGGCUGGGCCACCUGUGGCAGCAGCGCAGCACCAUCACCCACCUGCUGGGCAACUGGAAGGCCAUCAUGGCUCACGUGCCCACCCGGCAGCUGCGGCGGCUGAGCCGGCGGCCCCGCGGGGCCUUGUCCCCCGAGCAGUUCCUGCCCCAUGUGGACGGGGCUCCCGUGCCCUACAGCAGCCUCUCACUGGAUCUCUUCAUGCUGGGUUACUUCCAGCUGCUGGAGUGCGACCUGCCGGCGGAGGAGCGGAAGCUGCGCCACCUGCUGUGCUUCGAGGUCUUCGAGCACCUGGGCACCCACGGCUGGGAGGCUGUGCGCGCCUUCCACAAGGCCGUGACAGACGAGGUGGCCGCCGGCCGCCGGGCCUGGACCGACGGCUUCGAGGACAUCAAAGCCCGCUUCUUUGGCUCCAGCCAGCGUCCCGCCUGGGAUACGGAGCCUGGCCGCAAGUCAGGCCUGACCCCGCUCGGGCCCCUGCCUCACGCCGCCGUCCCCUGCAGCGGCCCUGAGCCCACAGCACAGCGGCUGGGGUCCCGCUCCCAGCAGGGCAGCUUCAACAGUGAGGACAUCUGCGGCUACAUCAACCGGAGCUUUGCCUUCUGGAAGGAGAAGGAAGCUGAGAUGUUCAACUUUGGAGAAUGACCCUACUGGCAGCCUGCUUUCCAGAAUGUGGUUUGGGGGUGACUUGGGGUUUCUCUUUUCUUUUCCUUGCUCACACCCUUGGUGGCCGGGUGAGCCAGGCAAGGCUGCCUCCAGUCCUACCGGUUAUCGGAGGCUGCGGGACUGUUCUGUUGUGGCAUGGUUCUCCUCCGAGCCGGGACUCAGACUCCUUCUCACCACUGCACCCAGGAAGCCCCUUGGCAGGCCCUGAAGUGAGGCAAUGGGCCACCGCAGUCCAGGGCACCUCUGCCCAGCCGGCCCCCAAGACCUGGGAUGCUGCCUGUUUCUCACUUGUCCUUCCCCAGUGUCACCAGUUACCUUGGCGUCCUGUCCCUCAGUUUCUGUGGUGCUGGUGGCCUCGGCCACAUCCAUCUUUCAUGUGAGUCUGAGGUGGCCCCAGGCCCUCCUCCUGCCCCUGUUUCUCCUGCUGACCUUGGGCCACACCCCUUCACCUCCCAUCUGUGAAUUUGGGGGAGCUGGAGUGAUUCCGAGGACAGAUUCCAUGGGCAGGAGGCCUUCCUGCCAGGCCAUCCCUGCUGGUCACACACCGAUGCCCGCCAGGCCAGUGCCCCAGCCCAGGGUGCUCCAGAGGCCCUGCUCCCUCAAAGGAGGCUCCCCAUGGGGCCCCUGUCCUCCAGCCUGACCAGCCCCGGCCUAGUCGUGGGCCCCAGCAAGGCCGGAGAGCAGGGACGUGGGAGUAGCAGUGGCUGAGAGAGUCCUCCAGGCAGGGUGGCUGGUGCCCACUCUCAAAGGCUGCUGCACACAGAGGAGAAUGCCGGCAGGGGUGGGCAGCAGCCAGACCUCGGUGGGGCGUGGAUACUCCGUGAGGGCACCUGGGUGUCACCCACAGUGCACCUCUUCACAGGGGCCUGGGUACUAGAGGGAGGGAUACAGGAAGGGAGAUGGAUUCCAUCCUCGGGGGCUCUGGGUGCUGCGGAGUAUCCCUGGGCAUGGUGCUGGGCACGGCUGGCAUAGGGUGUGGCUUGUCCCCAGCUUCUGAUGGCAGCCAGGAGAAUGGGUCAUCACCCAGGCUCUGGGGCUGAGGAGGGCUGGGCCCAAGCCCACAGGGACUUUGGAGGUGGGGCUCUGCAGCUGUGAGAUGGCCCAGCAGGGAGUGGCAGGGAGGGGAGGCUUCAGGAAUAUUCCUCCUGGUAUCCAGGCCCCCUGGGACAGAGGAGGGUGCAGUCAGGCGACAGGCUUAUCAGGACUCCCUGCCUCAAUCCCUGGGGAUUGUCCAGGCAAAACCUGGAGGGCAGCGGGCAAGCUGUUGGAUGGAACAGAGAGACCCUCGCAGCUGACUAGGGCCCAAGGGGAUGGACACUCAAGAAGAUGUAAAAUUGGGAGGGGUGGUAUUGGCCAUUGGGGCAGGCAGGGCCGGGAAGGGAAGUAGCACCGGCCGCAGCCCCAAGCCAGUGGCUUUUCCACAAGGGCCUACUCUGCAGCCGGCCCGCUCCAGCUUCCUCCACUGCUGAAGACCCUGCUGUAGAGCCGAAGCGGAACAUGUGUUUGCUAAAUAAAGAUUCCCAUUCCU
rnacentral:sRNA from 1 species